rnacentral:rRNA from 1 species
GACAGAGGGUGCAAACGUUGUUCGGAAUUACUGGGCGUAAAGCGCGUGUAGGCGGCUGCGCAAGUCGGAUGUGAAAUCCUAUGGCUCAACCAUGGAAGUGCACCCGAAACUGCGUAGCUAGAGUCUCGGAGAGGAAGGCGGAAUGCUUGGUGUAGAGGUGAAAUUCGUAGAUAUCAAGCGGAACACCGGUGGCGAAGGCGGCCUUCUGGACGAUGACUGACGCUGAGACGCGAAAGCGUGGGGAGCAAACAGG